ensembl:lncRNA USP2-AS1 USP2 antisense RNA 1
CCUGCCUCGACCUUAGCCCAAUCAGCUCUCCUUUCCUCUGCUUUACGGGGGUCCAUCUGGGGGAUGUUCUCAUGCCCAUUCCAGGGGAGGUGGCACGUACCUGCCUCUUCUUGGAGUAUGGACGAGUCGAACCGGGCACAAGCAUGGAGCUGCGGGUGAGUCCCGGCUGGCGCUGGCGCGGCGCAGUGAGCACCAGCUGACGAAGAGGG